GCUUAGUUGGUAGAGCACAAGACUCUUACCCUUGUGGACGUGGAUUCAAGCCCCAU
rnacentral:tRNA from 1 species